CUACGGGAGGCAGCAGUGAGGAAUAUUGGGCAAUGGGGGAAACCCUGACCCAGCAAUGCCGCGUGAGUGAUGAAGGCCCUAGGGUUGUAAAGCUCUUUCAGCGGGGAAGAUAAUGACGGUACCCGCAGAAGAAGCCCCGGCUAACUUCGUGCCAGCAGCCGCGGUAAUACGAAGGGGGCUAGCGUUGUUCGGAAUUACUGGGCGUAAAGCGCGCGUAGGCGGAUUGUUAAGUCAGGGGUGAAAUCCCGAGGCUCAACCUCGGAACUGCCUUUGAUACUGACGAUCUUGAGUCCGGGAGAGGUGAGUGGAAUUCCUAGUGUAGAGGUGAAAUUCGUAGAUAUUAGGAAGAACACCAGUGGCGAAGGCGGCUCACUGGCCCGGUACUGACGCUCAUGUGCGAAAGCGUGGGGAGCAAACAGGAUUAGAUACCCCGGUAGUCC
rnacentral:rRNA from 1 species